AGGUGUAGCAGUUAGUGAUUGCGCAGAGGCUGAUCAAAAUCUGGAAGAAACCAAAGAGAUUUCAGCCACAGAGUCAGAGCAGCCAGAGAAACUGGCAAACAAAGAAAAUGUUAUAAUUCAGGACAUUCUAACAUCUGACUGAUCAUGUUUGUUUCUUGUGAUGUAUAUAUUACUGAAAUCUUCUGAGUUUUUCCAUUGUCCAGGGGUUGUUGCCUGUGGAACCAUUGAAGAUUACCCCUCCUACUGGUUAUGGCUACUGGAAUCUUGGCAUGGUGGCGUUAUGGCACACUAACAAGCACAUCAAAAUUUAAUCUCAAAUUACUACAUGCAAGGAUAAGAAAUCUGUUACUUCCACGUUUUGUUUUGGGUUACUAUUGUGUUUAUUGAUGAUGUUCAGACUUAAGAAAGGAAAAGAAAAAAAUCACAAGUUGCCAGUUUUCAUUGUAAGGGUACCUUGUGAAAAUGCCAUAAACACGGUUGUAGUACUUUUUGCAAGAAAACUGAAAUGUCGGCUAAAUUAACCCUUAUGCCUAAGGCAGAAGAUUUGACUUCUGAUUGUAAAUAUAAUGGGUGCUCUAGAACAAAGUAGCCUCCACAAUGAAAUGAAGAACAGAUUAACAAUACAGCAUUGUCCUUAUGCAACAACAGAAAAAAAAUGUUGUGAUAGAAGAGAACAGGACUUUGAAGUUGACCCCUGAUUUACUUCAUGUGUGUAAUAGUCUCAGAUUUGAUAUCACGAAGAAAACAGCUUAGUGAAAAAGGUUAUUGUAGUCUAAACCCCUCUUCAAAUGUGUAUAGUACCAUUGUUUUGAUUCAGUUGAGAGUUGUUCUCUUAAUUUAUGUCUAAGGAAACGUUGUGUAAAGUAUGACUAAGGAGUUGUAGACAGUUUUUUUUUCUUUCAUACAUGAAUUAAAAUGUCCGUUUCCUACUAAAUGCAUGUGCAUUACAUGAGGUAAACACCCCAGAUGUAUGAGGAAAAUUUCCUAUGCACACCAUCAUGUGUUUGUAGACUGUUGCUGCAAUCAUUUCAAUAAUUAUUUGGAAAUCCAGUAUGACAUAGAGCAUUGUGUAAUCAAAAUGUGUGCUGUAAUAUCCUUACGUGUGUUCACUAGUCAGUGAUUAAGCCUAAGCCCAGGGUGAUUUGAUAAGAUGAUAAAGGUCUGUAUGUUCGUUCAGGACUUCAUGAGAAACGAAUUAGCCUGGUCUUCUGUGCCUCUUUCGCACUGAGCUCAUGUCCCAUAUUGGCCUAGAGGAUCAUCAUGGCGUUUUUCUCGCGAAAUAGUUUCCUGGAAAUCUCAAGUUGUAGGGCAUAUGAAACAUCAAGGCCAAAGGUCAACAGUGUAGUAAACUUUCGCAAAAUGUCAAUCAGUGACUUGUGAGGUUGUACCUUUAGUCAUGUUCAUAAACUGAUGCUCCAUAUUACAAAUUAAGACAUUUGCAAGUUAUCACCCCUUACAUGAUAACGGUGAGAGAUAUAUAGAUGCAGAAUCUCUACAAUCUCGUUGUCCAUGAAAUGUAGUCCUAUUUUGUUUUUACAUAGCAGGCACUCUGUUCAGCUAUUUGAAGGAUCAAAUUCCAAAAAUCUGGCAGGAUUGCACAAAGCCAGUUUUGACAGAAGCCAAAAUUAGAAGUGACGUGCAUGUUUGUUUUUGGACUUGAAGUCACCAAACUGUUACUUUGUGAAGACAAAGAUACCAAAAUUUCAUCUGGGGAUGUAAAUAAUACACACCAAACUUGUGACUAAAGUGGAAUUGACACCAGCUAUUUUUGUUCUGAGUUCUUGCAAGAAUUUGCCAAAAUAAAAAAAAUAAUCAAAAAAAUCUGAGCUGUAUACUGUAGCUCAAAAGCAUGUGGCUUGAUCUGCUGCGAAAUACCUGGAAUUCCUGCUAUUUUCAAGUGGUAUUAACAAGCUUUAUAUAAGUAAC